AUGAACUCUAGGAAUUAGAGAACUCGACAAGUGUGGCAUUAAGGACUAGAUGGCAUGAAAACUAUGAAUCCUAGAUGUGGACGACUAGGAUAGAAAAGAAUUGAUUGGACAUUAAACCUAGUGUCAUUGAACAUAGGUUGGACAUUGAACCUAGAGUUGGGUGAACCUAGGUGGAAGAACAUAGGACCUAGUGUCACGCCCCGGGACCGGCGGAGGCCCUCCCGGUAGCGUGCCCAGACCCGCCAUAUGUCUACACAUAUAAGGCGUCUACGAUAAAAGCGAAAGUAAAAGCAAGAGAUAGAACAAAUAUAAGAAAUGAAAUAACUAGCAACUAGAGAUAUCAGAGCAAGUUCUAUCAUCUGCACCAAAGUAGAGAAAUAAAGCUAGUCAAACAAGGAUAACCAUAAGUAGUACCAUAUCUGUCUCUAGUACAAAAAUGGUGGUCUCUACACAAAUACGGGUACAACUCUCAACCCCUCACAAAAGAAAACACGAGAGGUAGACCACCUAUCGAACGAUCCCUCGGUAAGCGCGCUAGCCCGAGGCGAUACCCUUUCCGCGAUCCCUGGCCUCACCCUGAGUGGAAGGCUCUGAAAAACAUCGAGAAAAAGAGGGCGUGAGAACUAUAAUUUAUAGUUCCCAGUGGGCAAUUACUGACCUCAGCUCUAUGCACCACUAGGCCCCAAAAGAAAA
rnacentral:lncRNA from 1 species